AUUGAACGCUGGCGGCAUGCCUUACACAUGCAAGUCGAACGGUAACAGGUUAAGCUGCCGAGUGGCGAACGGGUGAGUAAUGUAUCGGAACGUGCCCAGUCGUGGGGGAUAACUGCUCGAAAGAGCAGCUAAUACCGCAUACGACCUGAGGGUGAAAGCGGGGGAUCGCAAGACCUCGCCCGAUUGGAGCGGCCGAUAUCAGAUUAGGUAGUUGGUGAGGUAAAGGCUCACCAAGCCGACGAUCUGUAGCUGGUCUGAGAGGACGACCAGCCACACUGGGACUGAGACACGGCCCAGACUCCUACGGGAGGCAGCAGUGGGGAAUUUUGGACAAUGGGCGCAAGCCUGAUCCAGCCAUGCCGCGUGCGGGAAGAAGGCCUUCGGGUUGUAAACCGCUUUUGUCAGGGAAGAAAAGGUUCUGGCUAAUACCUGGGACUCAUGACGGUACCUGAAGAAUAAGCACCGGCUAACUACGUG
rnacentral:rRNA from 1 species